UGUAAUUUGGGUUCACAAAUAUAUGUAAUAAAUCUAUAUUUAUAUUUGACAUAAGAAUAUACAUGUAGCUGACUUAAACAGAGUUUCAAGGAUAUGGCAGAAAGCAAACGAUUUGUUGGAAGAGUUACGGUUGUUACCGGUGGAUCACGUGGUAUAGGCAAAGCUUGUGUCAAAUUAUUUGCACAACAUGGAUCAAGUGUUGUUUUUUGUGCAAAUGACG